rnacentral:lncRNA from 1 species
CCUGGUUGGGGGAUGGGCAGUCAGGAGCAGCUCCUCUGGGGAAGACAGGCAGUAAACCCGGAAGCUAAAGAAGUAGCAGCUCAGAGGUGGAGUGGCGUUGGGAUGGGGCAUCAGCAUGUAGGAAGCCCUGUGGACAGGGAGUGAGUUAAGGGCAGGGAAACCGAAGCCCAGGCAGUAGGAGAGAGGAUGCAGGGGAAGGUGGAACCCUGUGAACCCCAGGAAUGAAGGCUUUGGGCUUUGUCCCAAAAUCCACUGGGAAACACCGAGGGCUGGCGUGAGACCUUGUACCCAAAGGACAAGGGGAAUGGUCACUGGACCAUGUGGAAGGGGAGUGGUCAUCGGACCCAAGCAGUGGUGGUGGUCAUGGGGUGGCCUCAGCAGGUGACUGCAGGUUUCCAGGCCAGAUGACAGCCACCUGGACCGAGCUGGCCCCCAGAUUAGAGACGGAAGAUUGAAGAGCCAUGGAGGGUCCAGGUCCGAAGUUCUCUGUGCUGGGGUGGAGUGGGGUGAAAGAGUACUGGGGUGAGUGGAAGGGCACUGAGGAGGUGGAAGGGCCAUGGGAUGGGUGGAAGGGCACUGGGGAGGUGGAAGGGCACUGGGGUAGGUGGAAGGGUGCUGGGGUGGGUGGAAGGGCACUGGGGAGGUGGAAGGGCACUGGGCUGGGUGGAAGGGUACUGGGGUGAGUGGAAGGGCACUGGGGAGGUGGAAGGGCACUAGGAUGGGUGGAAGGGCACUAGGAUGGGUGGAAGGGCACUGGGGAGGUGGAAGGGNNNNNNNNNNNNNNNNNNNNNNNNNUGGGUGGAAGGGUACUGGGGUGGGUGGAAGGCACUGGACAUGCAGAAGGAAUGCAUGGCUACUGUUUGUGCUGCCGGGAGCUGGGGUCCAGGAUGACUGUGUCCGCUGGAGCUGCCUGGUUCUGAGAACGCAGGGACUGCCUCUUGAGGGUCAGAGUCUCCCACAUCCCCUGUCUUCGUGACCUGCCUCCUCAGGAAGCCGAAUGUGCCACCAGAGCUGGUUGAUUCUCUGGAAGAGAAGUCACCAGGAACACUCCAGAAGGAAGAAAUGUCUAGUGUGUCCUAGAUCUCCACACCCUUCCAAAGACCCAGAGAUGGAGCAAUGCUGGAUAGACCCCACCUGCACACAGAGAAAGGCUGCUGGAGAGACGUCGUCAGAGCAGAGAGACAGUGGCCCUAAUCCCAGGACCCAGGCAACGUGUGGAGGGUGCAGGGUGGUGUGUGUGUGCUUUUAUCCCCAGCACCAGGACCUCAGGCCUGAGAGCUUCCCCUACCUGCCAUGGGAUCCUCGUAUUGAGCUGUUGCCUGAAGGUUUCAGCAUAAUGGCCAAUUGGUCAUUCAUCUUUAUCCCAAUCCAUCACCCCCACUGCUGGGGUCCCAGAGCCAUUCGCGUUGUUCUGAGGCAUUCAGGGCUUGCUAAGCUCCCCGUGGGCACAAGGCAGUUUCUCUGCAAGAACACUUCCCAACUUUGGCGACCUGACCCUCCUUGCUGGGGUGCAGGUAAAGGACAUGGCAGGUGCACUCCCUCUGUAACCCUCACUCAAAUGUGCCAAUCCGUGGGCUUAUAUGCCUUGACAUCUAAAGCACAGACAUGGUGCCUGGUCAUGAGCUGGGCCCUUUUUGGAGGGGAUCCAGAAGCAUUCGGAGCCAUCAGCAAAGCAUGGGGUCUCCCCCUCUGCAGGGCGCUGUCUGUGGAACUGCCUGUUUCCUCUGAUGAUAGGAUUCAGUCGCUCCAUAGAAACCUAGAUUUCUCCCUGUUGUCCUGAAGUGUGAGAAGCAAAGUCCUGUGUUCUAGACACAGAUACCUUCUGAAUUCUCCUCUCAUUGCUGGUCCACGUUCUGUGGCUUCGGCUGAGUAAUUCAACUCUCCAGGGACCUUGGUCACCCAUCAGUGAGAGCCACUGUGGGCAGAGAAGGGGAGCAGCAGGGCAAGCUGAGAAUGCAACCCCACAACACCACCCCAGUUACGUUGUUUCCUCGUAGGGCAUGUGGUUGAAGAGUGCUCGGGUUUUGACAUCUCAUAAAGAAAAAGUUGACAGAAUUGGGUUUGAUUCAGUCAUUUUGAAAAUAAGCACAGUUGCUUUUUAAUAUCCAUUUUUCUUGAAAAUAACAGUUUGUCUUUGUGUAUAACUGCCUUGUUUCUCAGUCUGGAUGUCUCUAUUUCUCAGGAAGUGGGGGGACCAGCAGGAGGAGAGGAACAUGGGUGUCUCAUGGUCCCAGCAGCCAGACAGAGCCCCCGUGUAGGUGUUGGCUGCAACAUCAGGUCCCUGCACACUAAAAUAGUGGGGAGCAAGGAGCAUGGGUGGGGCACAUGCCCAGUCUGCCCCGGUUGAAAUGACAGAGAAGAGCCCUUACUAGUCAGGCAUUCCAAUCACGACUGGAUUCCCCAAGACACGAAGGUGUGGUUGAUGUCUCCAUGCCAGAUCCUAGCACUAAAAGCUGUUCAUUCAAUGAGUGUCAAAGUGAAGAUGACCAGGGCGUGCAGAGCCCCCACACCUCCACUUCUGGCCCGUUCCACUGAUGAAUGUGCCCGUGUGUGUAUCUGUCUGCCCAUAGUGGGGCUUCUUUGCCUGGUUUUAUUUUACCAGUGGCUACAUUUCAUCAUCCAGCUUCACUUCCCGUAAAAGUUCUGGAUCAUGUCUGGUUUCCCUCUGAAACUGUGAAUCACACUCUCCACACCCUGCCUUUCUCUAGCACUGCAAGAGAAGCACUCCUCUGUGCAGGACACAUUCCUAUCUGCUGCCCCCGAGAGCCCUGGUUCAUCUCGUCGCUCCAUUCCAGUUCCUUCUAGAAGAUAAAAGUUGGAAAGUGACCUGAGCCCAGUGCUGGAGAACAUGGCAGUGCUCUUCAAGGCCUCCGCUGGAACAUCUGGUGUCUUCCAAGCCAGGUGCUGUACCUGGUCCGUGAAGAAAGUAUUGGCAAAGCCUCAGAGCAACUUCCAGGUCUUUUCAUCCAGACAAGGCCAGCUGCUGGCUGCCAGUUUGGGUCCAGCUCUUCAUCAGUUAGUGUUAGACCCACACAGUGUUUUAAAUAUUUCAGUGAACUAUGCAUAUCUAAGAAAUGUGAUCUUUUACAGAAAGAUCUGUAUUUCUGACUUUUCUUAAAAAAUCAAAGUGUCUUGCAAUGCUGGCCCCCAGCCCAACAUGGCAAUCAGCAGUUACAUUAGCUUCCUCCUUGGUGGCACCAAGCUGGCUCCUGCAGCCCUGGAACCCUAAAUACGAAAUACCUAUCAACGCAAUAGCCCCUAUGUCUUCUACUGAAAGUCACGACAGUUCUUCAACUGAAAGUCGCCUGGGAUCUAGCCAGGAUUCUACAUGCGUUUCUCUCUUUAUCAAGCUUGUCCAACCUGCGGCCCGAGGGCCCAUGCAGCCCAGGAUGGCUUUGAAUGCAGCCCAACACAAAUUAAUAAACUUUCUCAAAACAUUAGGAGAUUUUUUUGUGAUUUUUUUUUUUCUUUUUUAGCUCAUUAGCUAUCACUAGUGUUAGUGUAUUUUAUGUGCGGCCCAAGAUAAUUCUUGUUCUUCCAAUGUG